CCAGUGCGUGGGGAGAACGCGUUGAGACCCUUUCGUACCGUUAACCUGACAAGAAAUGUUUGUGGCUUUGCAUUCGUCAUCGCUAGCAUACUUAAAUGUAGCUGCACUGCGAUGUUGCGUUGCUGUUUUAUAACCAUUGCAAGGUACGUUUCGAGAGCGGGAGCCGUGCCUCAUCUUUCGUAUACUGCCUGGGAUUGGAGUACACACGCAAGACACCAGCAUAUAUGGACAGAUGUCGAAUUGCAUUCCUCGGGGAGGGAGUCCGAUAACAUCACACUGACAGGGACGACCGGCAGCGGCUCCUCAGAAGAGCCGCCAGUGAUGAGAUCCCGACGCCGCUCAGGAGAGAGGGCGAGAGACUGAUGAGGAGAGGCUCGCCCUGCUAUAUCCUAAAGCCCCCGCACACACAGAAAAACUACAGCGCUGCAUGGCACGGACACGGCGUGGUUGUGCCCAAGGGUAUACUGUUUCGUUCGUGUGUAAUUGUAAAGUACUGUAUACAUGGUCAAUGUUUCACCCCACUGAACAAAUUGCUGAACGUGUUGAUUACAAACGAAAGGAAGGAAGGAACGCGCGAAACAAAAGCGUGCACACAAUGAACAUUGAAGUACA